rnacentral:rRNA from 1 species
UACGUAGGGGCGAGCGUUGUCCGGAUUUAUUGGGCGUAAAGAGCGUGUAGGCGGCCAGGUAGGUCUGCUGUGAAACUCGAGGCUCAACCUCGAGACGUCGGCGGAAACCAUCUGGCUAGAGUCCGGAAGAGGAGAGUGGAAUUCCUGGAUGUAGCGGUGAAAUGCGCAGAUAUCAGGAAGAACACCCGUGGCGAAGGCGGCUCUCUGGGACGGUACUGACGCUGAGACGCGAAAGCGUGGGGAGCGAACAGG